UUGGGAGCUCUCCCAUAUGGUCGACCUGCAGGCGGCCGCGAAUUCACUAGUGAUUGUGUCGCUUGGCCAUGGUUGCCCACGUUGCCGAAUAUUCCUCACUGCUGCCUCCCGUAGGAGUGGGGACCGUGUCUCAGUUCCCCUGUGGCCGUUCAUUCUCUCAAACCAGCUACGCAUCAUUGCCUAGGUGGGAUUUACCCACACCCAAUAGCUAAUACGACUUAUUCUCAUCAACUAGCGAAGGUCUAAAGACCUCCUUUCAUUACGUAAACGAAUACGCAACAAAUGCGGUAUUACCCACGAUUUCUCAUGGCUAUCCCCCACUAAUUGGCAGAUCAAAUAAGCAUUACUCACCCGUACGCCGCUAAAGAUAAUAUUGCUAUCAUCUUCCGCUCGACUUGCAUGUGUUAAGCACACUACCAACGUUCACCCUGAGCCAUGAUCAAACUCUAAUCGAAUUCCCGCGGCCGCCAUGGCGGCCGGGAGCAUGCGAC
rnacentral:rRNA from 1 species